UUCUGCAAGCUACCUGUGCAUGUGAUUCCACUGCAACCUGACCCAUUCUCAGCCUCCUUCCAACACCCAACUCAAGAGAGACCUUCUAUACUGGAAAAAAAUGAAGUCUCACAAAAGAAUUAACCAGAUCAAAUAUGUUUGACCUUUUGAUGAGUGGAAAAUGUUGGGAUUUCUUUCUGUCAAUUCUUAGACCUGAGAAAAAAGUUGAGGUCAUAUCCGGCAGGGAGCAUGCUUUCUAUGUGGCAGAAGUAAAAGAGCAGUUUUUCCAGCUUGGAGUUGAAGCUCUUGAAGAUGCCUGCCAUUAGAAGAUGCAAGGCUGAGGUCAUGAAAGUGUGGUGGCCAAAUCCAGCUGUUCCAGGAAGUCCAACAACAGCUGCUCUGCUCUGCUCCUAACCCUCCUCUGUAAUGGGUACCAGGCCAAGCUUUUGGGUGCUCAAUCUGAAUAACAGCCUCAAGACAAGUCCCCACAGACUAGUUUCUAUGUAGAAGGAA